AGGGGGCUAGCGUUGCUCGGAAUCACUGGGCGUAAAGCGCACGUAGGCGGAUUGCUAAGUCAGGGGUGAAAUCCUGGAGCUCAACUCCAGAACUGCCUUUGAUACUGGCGACCUUGAGUCCGGGAGAGGUGAGUGGAACUGCGAGUGUAGAGGUGAAAUUCGUAGAUAUUCGCAAGAACACCAGUGGCGAAGGCGGCUCACUGGCCCGGUACUGACGCUGAGGUGCGAAAGCGUGGGGAGCGAACAGG
rnacentral:rRNA from 1 species